rnacentral:rRNA from 1 species
GACGUAGGGUGCGAGCGUUGUCCGGAUUUAUUGGGCGUAAAGAGCUCGUAGGCGGCUUGUCGCGUCGACCGUGAAAACUUGGGGCUCAACCCCAAGCCUGCGGUCGAUACGGGCAGGCUAGAGUUCGGUAGGGGAGACCGGAAUUCCUGGUGUAGCGGUGAAAUGCGCAGAUAUCAGGAGGAACACCGGUGGCGAAGGCGGGUCUCUGGGCCGAUACUGACGCUGAGGAGCGAAAGCGUGGGGAGCGAACAGG